UGUAUUCUAAUGUUCUAUUGUUCAUUUUAUAGUAUCUUAAGCUAUUAAGUUCUUCAGUUGUAGAGUGUACUGAUGAGGGACCCUAAGUAUGUCCGAAAACGUUUUGCAAAUUAAAAUUGUUUAUACUUGCAAAGAGUGCUGUGUAUGGACUGAGUUUGAUAGUAAGCAAGUUGUGAUAACCAGUUUGUUAGACUUUAAUAUACACUCGGAUCAAGUCAAGAUUAUAAAACCUGUUGUUAACUCCCAGGUGUUAAUAACUGAAACCUUGGAGAUUUUAAAAAGGCAGGACACAAAAUGGCUCCUAAACAACCGGCCAGGAACUCAAC
rnacentral:lncRNA from 1 species